rnacentral:rRNA from 1 species
CAGCCGCCGCGGUAAAACCAGCAGCCCAAGUGGUGGUCGCGAUUAUUGGGCCUAAAGCGCUCGUAGCCGGGCCGGUAAGUCCCUUGUGAAAUCGGACGGCCUAACCGUUCGGCGUGCAAGGGAUACUGUCGGUCUUGAGGCCGGGAGACGUCCGAGGUACUCCGGGGGUAGCGGUGAAAUGUUCUGAUCCUCGGGGGACCACCGGUGGCGAAGGCGUUCGACGAGAACGGGCCUGACGGUGAGGGGCGAAGGCUAGGGGAGCAAACAGGAUUAGAUACCCCAGUAGUCCCUGUCUCUUAUU